GAAGCCUGGGGAGGAGAGAUGGGGGAGGAGGCACUGGCCAGGCUCCCAGGAGGCUGCGGGGUGUGGUUUACAUAUAAAACACCCCGAGACCUCUAGUGUUGGGUGAGAUGGCAGUGACUGGGACCCAGGUACUGGACUCGGUGGAGUCUCCAUGGGUGGCUGGACCUGGAAGGGUAUAUCCUGUCCCCACUCCUUGCUCUCCAACCUGACCACCAUGAGGGUCUCCGUAUGUAGCCUGCACUGGCCUGAAAGUCACAGCAAUCCUCCUGCCUCUGCCUCCUAAGUGCUGGGAUAACAGGGCUGCAGCACCACACCUGGCUCUUCCUCUAAAUUGUGGGUAUCCAGUAUUUUGUCCUAUCGAUGUGACAGCUGAUAAAUCCACUGGCCCAUCAGCCAGCGGCAAGAAAAUGGGGGUUCCCAGACCCACUGAGGCCCCCAAGACCUACCUUUGCCUUCAAGAAACUCAUCCACAAAGUCCUCAAAGGAGUUGGGGUCUGGCAGGAAGUUGGCCAAUUUAUGGAAGUGGUAGAAGGAGACGAGCACGUCCUUGGGGUUCCGUGCCAUGUAUAUCACCUUGAGGGGAGACCCGAGACCUCUGACCCAGCUCCUCCCCGAGCUCCCAGCGCUGUCCACAAGCCAAGGCGGGCAAUGCUGGCCCUCGCCUGGCCCACCCACCUUCCGGUACCAAUCUGGGCUUGGAGACAAAGCAGAGGCUCUGGCCAUCCCUGCUGCUGCCUGCAAGUUCCCGCCCACCAUGCCUCAUGCCCAUCACCUUACCCGGGCUUUGGAGCGCAGGACUGCAGGCCCGAGAGCCUCAGCAUUCAGGUGGGAGGUGAGCAGGCGAGGCUGGCCGGGGUCUAGGCUGCCAAGCAUUUUGACGAGGUUGCUCUGCUCCAGCCAGGGCGCACGCUGCCAGUUGGGGAUGUGGUGGAUGGGCCAGAGGUGGCCCUGACAGAAGAUGAGGCUCAGCACCUGCUGCAUCCACGUGGUCCCUGGGUGGGAAGAGGCGGGUGAGGUGUGGGGCUCUGAGUCCCGUGAAGGGGCAGUGUUUCCGGGACCGACCACCUGCUGGCCUGCGCCACCCCUUUGCCUGCAGCUGCUCGGGAUUUCUAGGGACACGGCUUCGGCUUCGUCUACAGCGCUGCCUCUUCCUCCCACCCUUUCCUUUUGUUGCUGUUGUUUUGAUUCUGUUCUGAGUCCUGGCCCAGUUGUUAGCUUUACAACAUCUAUAAGAAGAGAAUAAAGAAAUUCAAGUCCCUACCCCAAAGCCUCACCCUCAGGCCUUUUUGUAUUUUGAGCCAGGAUCUAAAUUGCCCAGGCUGGGCUGGGACUUGCAAUACUCCUGCCUCUACCGAGUAUCCGGGGUUACAGCUGUGUGCUACCACUUCCUGCUUCAACAAACCUCUUUAUGGAGUUAGAUACUGAAGUUGUGAAAAUGCAGAUGCCAGCCAAGGAAAGGACAGGGCUGCAGCCUGGAGCCCCACAGACACAGCAUAGAGCAAAGAAAUGCAGUCAAGGACAUGGAUAGCGACUGACGGUCUUUGGCCAGAGCUGGUAUUAGAUCAAAUUCCAGUGUGCACAAGUAAACUCUGCACAGAAUGCGCUGGGGGAUGUAGGCGCUGCAGCCGUGCGCACACAGGCAGGAAAGAGCAGGCAAAUUCCUGUAUAACCUGCGCAUGGGACCCUGUUUCCAAGUGUCAGCAGCCCCAGGCACAGUUAGAGAAGCUCAGAUUCAAUCGGGGUGACCCUGUCAGUAUGCACAGCAGCUGGAUCCGCGUACUGCAGGUUGAAUCUUGAACCCCGGUGUGCUGCUGGGGGAGGGCACAUUAGGAGAUGGGCUGCUGGCAGUGGUGCCACAUGCUUGUAAUCUUGCCCAUGCUGGAAGCUGAGGCUGGAGGACACAGAUUCCAGGCCAGCUUGAGCAAUAUAACAAGACUGUCUUAAACAAAAAUAUAAAAAGCUCUGAGGAUGCAGCUCAGUGGCAGAGCUGCCGGGGCGCAACGUUUCACGUUACAGAAACAAAGCAAAUAGAAAAGAGAAGAUUGCCCGUUGGCCGGGUUGUGAGGCCCUCAGGACAACAGGACCUCGUUUCUUCCUCCUCGCUUUUCACUCCAGGCUGUGAGGUGAGCAGAUUUGUCUACCGUGUGUGCCCUGCAAAGCAAUGGGCUGGCCCACUGGGACUGGAACCUCCACUGUGAGUCCAAGAGGACUGAUUAGGUAUUUGUGGGACUGCGGCAAAGUGACGGACAUGCUCCUCCCACGUGGAAGCUGGCCCCAGCCCAGAGGACAGGGGACUGGACCUGUGGCUGCGGGAGGAGGCUGGGUGGAAACCGGGUAAGGGUUGUCAUCACAAAUUAGAGACCACAGUGGAGCCACAUCUGACUCAGCAGUAGCCAAGGCCCAGAGCAAUCCCCACAGUGUGCCAGGGAAGAGUCCUGGGACUCGGCCUCUCUUGCCCUCACGGGGACCGUGGCUUCACGGGCCAUUCUCAGGAGCCCUUAGUGGGGCUCCCCCAGGCUCUGUGUCCCCAGAGCUCCACUCCUGUUCUUUGCACAGCAUAAGAUGUGGAUUCUACCCUAAGCCCUGGCUGUACACAGCGGCCAGGACCAUUGCAGUUUGAGUUGCAGCAGUGAAGUUAACAUAAAUUUCUUCUACACAGUUUCAUGGAUAAAAGAUUCAUCCUGAUGGACACAGUGGCACAUUCCUGCAAGCUCAGUUACUCCAGAGACUGAGGCAGGAAGAUUGCAGGUUGAGCCAGUGCAAUUUGGAGAAGCCCUGUCUCAAAAGCUUUAAAAGAGCGGGACGUUCCGCUCAUUGAGAGAGCAUUUGUCUAGUGCGUGGGAGUCCUGGGUUUCACCCCGACCUUCACAAAGCAAAAUAAAACAGAAAAAGAUUCCCUGUAACCAUAAACCUUAGUGACCUUGGAACAUGACUGUAUUUAGAACUUGCACCUUUGCCCUGAAGGAAGCGCUCAGAACUUCGUGCCUCAUGCUGGCUGCCAGCAUCGAGAUCUCAGGCUUUGCUGCUAAGAGAAACAAAGGUUUCUUGUCACAAGCCUGAGACCGAGAGGCUUGGGGUUGGCAACAGCAUGUGCUGUGUGCAGUGGGGAGACUGGGACAGCAUGAGAUUUAUGGCAUGCAACUGACAACUAAUGAAGUGUUUCUGGGGUUUCCCUUUGGUUUUAGACCCUAAAAAAAAAAACCACAGUAAACUGGGCUGUGUGCCGUGCAGGUGCACUGUAUGAAAGGGAGGGGGGUUCUCGCAGAGGGCCCCCUACAGAGGCCGUGGAAUCAAGUGCAAAAGCGAGGCGCUGCUGCCAGGGAGGGCUGAGGUUCACGUGGCCCUGUGCUGUCAGUGUAUCUCAGUCAUCAUGUGACACAGGUGCCCGGUUGUGGAGCAGGAGCUGGAGCCGGCUGUGUCUGUCCCAUGUGCCCAGCAGCGGGGCUCAGGUGGGGGACUCAGGAUAGAGCUCCACUGCCUCUGACAGGCACAGGCACAGGCACGGGACUCCCAGCAGCUCCAAGAACAGUGCCUGCUUCAGCCCCGUCGGGAGGAAGAGAGAGGAAGGUGGCAGGCUGGACCCAAACACCGAGCCUGGGAGCUGGUGACACGGGCAGCUCCUCCGCCUCCAUAGAGCUGGCUCCAAAUAAACCCAUUCUCCUAUUCACCUAGAAAGUGGCCUGAGCCAUUUCUAAAGGAAUGACAUGACGGCAAUCCCAGCCCCACUGCCCAGUGAACUCACAGCAAUACGCUGGCCCAGCCAUGGCCUUCCCCCACCAAGCUCCACACCCAACCCUUUUUAAAAUUUUUAUUUUCACACAGGGUCUCACUAAGUCACUGAGUUGUCCAGGCUAGGCUACAAAUUGUGGUUCUCCUGCCUCAGCCUCCCAGAGUACAGGGAUUAUAAAUAUGCCUCUCCCCUCCCCUCUGUCUGUGUCUCUCUCGGUGUUUUUUCUCGUCUUGGGGGAAGCCGAGGCCUUCACAUUCACACUGAACUACAUUCCAGUGUUUAUUUAUCCUUUUGAGACCGGGUCUUGCUAAGCUGCCCACUUUAGGCUUGAGCUUGCAGCCUUCCUGCCUGAUCCCCUGCAUAGCUGGGAUGACUGACCUGCGCUGCUAUGCCCAGCAUGGCCUGCUCUCCAUGGCUGCUCCCUCCAGAGCUAAACUGUCUCCAGGCUGCUGCAUGUGCCAGCCUCCCCCUGCCCCUGCCCUGCCAGCCACAGCCUAUUCUGACCAGGCCCCCAGGUGCCUGUCCUCCCGGGAUGACCUCACAGGGUUAUCCCUGAGGAGGAAGUGUUUAUGGAGGCACAGCUCUUGUGCUCAGACAGUCAUCAUGGGGCAGGAGAAAGGCUGUCUGUCUGCAGGGCCCCUGAACCCUCAUCAACACCCCCCCCCAGGCCCUCAGUGCCUUCCUGCAAACACAAACAUCACCCAUGACCCCAGGGGUCCAGGGUGAGGACCCUGCCCAGAUCAAGGGUGUGCGUCUGACACAGCUGGGCCACCCUUGGGGUUGGCUGGAUCUCCUAGCCCAGGCCAGGGCUGGCGGAGCAGCGGUGGGGUACCCAGCUCUCACCUGACUUGGGGAACGUCACCAGCAGGAUGUCCUUGUCCUGGAACAGGAAACUGCAUGCCGCACGCAGAGACUCUUGGGUAUGUAUGAACCCUGGGAAGCGGAUGCCAUUGAAGACCUCAACAGUGUCCAUGCUGGUGACAGAGAAGAGAGAGCUCACUGGCUGGACCACGAGUCUGGAGUCCUGUCACUAAAGCUGACAUGGGUCAUCCUGGGUGGCCCCUGGCCUCUAUCCUGGGUACCCUUAGAGCCUAUCGCAGGGAGCCUGGUCAGCCUUGACUGUGGCUGAGACAGGUCGGGCCCCUUGCCCUCAGAGCAGUGGUGCUGCGUGGUGGCCCUGUGUCCUCCUCGUGGUCCCCAAGCUAUCCCUGCUCCUGCAUCAUGUUCUGGACAUCAACCUGCUGCUGGAGCUGUGUUACUGUCACAGCUCCCUGUGGGCAGGGCUGGAGUGCCUGUCUCACCUGGAAACCCAUGGCACGGUGGCCGUGAUGGCAGCUGCAGUAACUGUCUGCCGAGGCCCAGGUGCCCAGCAGAGACCCCUGCUGCACACCCCAUAGCUGCCCAUACUCACCCUCAGCCCGCACCUGCCUGCUCUGCGCUCAGCCCAGCAAAGGGAGAUGUGGCUGCACCCUGGGCAGUUAGUUCCAGGCAGUUAGUUCUGAGGAAACUCCACCCCAGGAUCCCAGGAUGGGACAGGAGCGGGCCUGUGGGGACGGGGGCGUGGCCCUGAGCCUUGGCCACCAGAGUGCAGGUGUCCAUGAGCAGUGCUGAGCUCUACUUGCUGGGUGAAAGGGGGUGGCACGGCCACCUGGGGUGGGGAUGGUGAUAAGGAAAUGUCACCUGUCCCAUGGCUCUGUGUCAGAGAAGCUGGCUGCACCUCUGCCGCCAGGGAGCCAGGGUUCUCAGGUAACGCAGUGACAUAUUUGUGGUAACCCCCACACUGCACAGUGAGCCUGGCCCUCCUCCCUGCCCACAGCCCUGUGCCCUCCUCACACACCUGCCCCAGCCUCCCUCCCCAGCCAAGUCCAACUCUCCCAGGCCAGAGCAGUGCCAGGCAGGAUGGAGUUUCCAAAAUGUGGUUGUAGUAACAGCUUGGAGAGGGCCGCGUGCUGGGCGCCUGAGCUCCUGUCCUGGGAAACCAGAUGCCCCACUGGGUGGGAGUCACUGCACUGGACAGCUCGGCUCCUCCUGUGGGUUACAGUAGCCGAGCUUCCUUCCCAGGGGAGACCAGACCAGAGAGGCCAGGCCUCUGUCAACGUGCAGGUACGGUCACAUGGGAAACACGGGGUUAAUGUGACCCAGGCUGCCUGGCCUCACAGCCCUUAGGGACACCAAAACAGCAGACUAAGGGAGGGACGUGGUUGGGUUUUGGGAAGACCCCGCCUAUUCCCAGAAAAGCCAUGAACGUCCCUCCCCCUCACUAGCUUCUCCCCAGCAUGCAGAGGCCUAUGCCGGCCUGUGGUGUCCCACUGAGCUGCACCCCAGCUCUGUAAGAAUUUUGCCCAGUGGGCUUUGAAUUUGAAACCCUCUUGCUUCAGCUUCCCCUCCCUGAUUAUUCUGUGACUCCUCAGACUUCUGGAUGGACACACUGAUUCUGAGCUGGGCUCCAGGUUUCCUUUUUUCUUUCCUUUACCUUCUUCUUCUUCUUUCUUCUUCCUCCUCCUCCUCCUCCUCUUCCUCCUCCUUCUUCAGACAAAAUGUCACUGUGCAGUUCAGGCUGGUCUUGAACUCAGUAUAUAACCGGACUGGCCUCAAACCCAGGACGCUCUUCCUGCCUCAGCCUCCCGAGUGCUGGGAUUACAGGUGAGGCCACCACGCCCAGCCCUCAGGCUUCCCUUUCUGUGGUCUCUGUGCUGUUUUGUCUCUCUGGUAACUGGCCCAUUACCUUUGUGUCACCUCUUGGAUUAACUUUUGAAAGUUCCUGUUGUUAUUUUGGCUAACAUGUAAAUAUUAUUUCAUGAUGACCUCUGAUCCUUUUUGAAUAUUUAAACUUUCUGACAUCCUUGACAAAUUCCAUAAGUAGAUUUCUUGCAACACUGGGGAGGCUGAGACAAGAGGUGAAUGUGAGAACUUCAAGGUGAGACCCUCUCUAAAAAACCCUAAUGAGUAGUAAGUAAAUAAUUAAUAAAUAAGUUUCUUGGCCUGACCUUAAACUGUCCUUGAAGCUUCUCAGCUGUCCCUGGAAAUCCUCAAAGGAUUUGUGCUCUUACCCGGCUACAAGAAAGCUGUUACAAAGUACCUAGGUUUAUGGGAGAUUAAAUUUCAGGGAGCCAGGCGUGUUGCUCCCCUCUGCACUCCCAGAGGCAGAGGCAGGAGGACUGGAAUUCUGAGCCCAGCCUGGGCAGCUCAGUGAACCAGCAGGACCAGACUCAAAGUAAAAAACAACAAAAGGCUGGGAUGGGGCUCAGGGCCAGGGCCUGGGCUCCACCCGGACACCACGGGAGAUCCCAGCUCGGGAAAGAGAGCUGGUCAGGAGAACUUGGCGGACGUGAUCUCACUGUGCUACCAAGGAUGCUCUUGAACUCUUGGCCUCAAGAAAGCUUCUGGCUUUAGCCUCCCUUGUAGCUGGAAUGACCCCCUCAAUCCCGUGCCACUGCACCUGGCUUCUAAAUUGCUCUCAUCAGCUACAGUCCAGACUUCGACAGAAAGGAUGCUCCAGGAAGCCCCAGCAGGGCAUCUGACAGUCUGGCUUAAGCGACUGUGAGAUCACACUUCCAGACUGAGUCCGGACUCCCAAGCCCAAUUAGGAAGGCCGGUGGGUUCGGGAGAGGCUGCUGCAGAGAGCAGCACAAAACCGACUCUCUGGCUGGGCGGACUGGUAAAGUGCAGUCACGACUUGCAUGAGGUUAUCAAAAUUGGCUCUCUGAUGUUCUAUUUUCUGCACAUAAAAAACUCUUCCCCUUUCUUCUGAAGCUAUCGAUGAUUUGUAAAUAUCUUGCAAAUUAUCCUUUUGUUAACCAGAUAUUUAUUUUUGCCCUUGCCUGGUACACCUUGAAAUUGAAAACUGUUAUCAAAAGCUCUUAAAGCUCUUUUCUCCGUGGCAGUACAGUUAUUUGCAGUUUCAAUAAGCAACUGUCCUCCUCGGUUUUGAUGACAAUGUCAUUUAAAAGUGAGGCACAGCCUCGCAUACUGGCACAUGCCAUUCAGGGGGUUAAGGCAGCAGGAUUGCUGGAGCCCAGGAAUUCAAGAUCAGGCCAGCCUGAUGACAAAGUGAGCGUACAGUCAGACCUGACCGCAUGGUGAGCAGGAAGUAAUGCCAACCUCACAGAGCACGUGCUGCCAACUCUUUCCCAGAAGGGUUGGCCCUGCCCCCAGCUCCUGCCACAGAGGGAUGCAGGCUGCCUUCUCUUCUUUCCGGUCCAGAACGUUUCUGGGGACCUCAGGGAAACCUGCAGUUACUGAAGCAAAGUCCAGUGAGGAACUCCUGGCACAGCUCCCUGGUCCUCAGUGCCUUCAAAGCCCCGUCCAAGAGUGUGUCCAGAAACCCUUCUACAAGACUGUUAUCACCCUGCUGUGCCUACAUAAACAAUCGGGUCAGAUGCAAGGAGACCAGGUUGUCUCACUGACUUCCACAAACUCCGAAGAGCAUGCCCCAGGGAGGAUGACUGCUUGUAGACCUCGGUUUGUGGACAUCCAGAUGCAGAAGAUGGAGCUGGGCACUUUUCCUAGAGGAAAUCAGAGGAGAACAAUUCAUGGCCUUGAUCUUGGCUUUGAUGUUAAAGCCAUGAUGCCGCAAACAGGCAACUUGCAUGCUGGGCCACAGCCGAGGGCACCUGGGCCAGCUGGGCCAGGAGCAGUGGUAAGGCCCUUGGCAGACCUGACUGGCAACUGGGGUAUUCACUCCUGCCUUCCAGUCAGUGCGGAGACUCCAGUGCCCGAGGAGCCACAUGCUGCCUGCUCACGGCUACAGCGUGGCAUACACCACUGCUGUGUCCCUGCCACAUCCCAGCCAGCAGGAGGACACAGGAGCCUGAGGCCCUGACAAAGGACGGUGCUGUGGUGGGCAGUGCAGGCGACCCUGGGACCAGUACUGCCUUAGAAAUGGAGUGGGGGGGGGCUGGGGAUUUAGCUCAGCGGCAUAAGCGCCUGCCUUGCAAGCAGGCAGUCAUGAGUUCGAUCCCUGGUACAAAAAAAAACAAAAAACAAAAAACGGAGUGGAGAUCGUGUUCCCAGCUGAGCCACCUGGGAGGACCUCCUGGAUGAGGACAGAUGUCCAUGUCUGUGAUGCUGUCCCCCUCCACCCUGCAUAGGUGCUAUGGACACGGCGUUGGACAAGAGUGGUACAGAUCCUGCCUUGAGAGCUGACUGCAGAGGUGAGGGACGAGGGCACAAAGAAGGGCAGCACGACUGGGGCAGGAAGGGGGCAGGCUUGGGGUUUGCAGCAGCUCACAGAGGUCUGAGUGGGGUUGUGGCCACAGACGGCGAGUCAGGGCUCAGCAGGGGGUGAGCAGAGGGAGGGACUAUGAUGUCCAGCCUCAGUGGUCUCCAGACUCUGGGUUCGGGAGGGCCCAGCCACGGGGCUGAGGCUGCUUCAGAAUGCGUGGACAGCAGGGUGGCUGCCUGGAAGUGGCUGGGACCCUUACAGGUACACAGGAGGUGGAGAGGAGGCUCUGGUGCUCUCAGGGCCCUGACUGCAGGUCCUGUGGAGACCAGGGCCGGCCUGGGAGGGUCCUCCCAGGUGAGGGGCCCAGAGGCAGCUGAGGAGGGGUACUGAUUCCACCAGGACAGGGGCAUCACAGAUGUAGAGCCGACAAAUGGAUGCAUGGCCAAACAGACAGACAGCUGAGCUUGAGAGGAGGGGGAAGUUUCAGGGCAAGGAUGGGAUGCAGAGGGAGGGUACGGUACCUGGCCUCAGUGUAGUUUUUGCCCUUCUGAGGGCAGAGUGGCAGCACAUUCACCUUGCAAAUUCUCCCACCCGGGGAACUGGGAACGCCUGCUUUCCGAGAUUUCUCUCCCUCUUAAACCACUUUUGCCAUUAAACAAGUGCAGAUGCCAGAGCUGACCCAGGUGCCUCUCUGCUGGCCUGAGUCCCCUCUGGGCAAAAGGAGGAUCAGAGCCUCAUGUUGCAAACCUCCCCUGGUGGGGGCAGGGAAGCAAGCAUUAGGACAGGGGCAGGAGAGGGGGUCACCUUGCUUGAAGGCAGCAGUGGUGGGGACUUGGGGCCACAGAGUGAGGCAGACUGGAGGUGGCCGCGUCUGUGAGCCACAGGAGACCAGCAGUGCAAGCUCUGACUCCUCAAAGCCAGUGCAGGGCCCGAGAGCGGAGCCCACAGUGGCUGCUGCUCCCUCUGGAACCUCGUUCAGGUCCAUGCAGGAUGGAGGCCAGGCCCACAGGAAACAGUGACUCUAGUAGGCUUCUUCCUAGACUUCUGCUGGAACCAGAAGGGAGCUACAGCCCUGCACGCAAGGUCGGAUCAGCCGUUGGUUCUGCAAAUAAAGGGCCGUGAGCUGGUACUGAGCUGCCCACAAACAGGUGCAGACGCAGAGUGUGACCAACUCUGAAGCACACGAGGUCCCAUGCUUGCGUCGCCUGCGUUUCGAAGCUGUGUGCUUCUACUCCAUGCUGCAUGAGCCCUGGUUCCCUCUCGGUUCCUGGUUUUGUUCUCCUGAGAGAGCUCAGGGCAGCAGGUGCCCGUGUCUCCUGCUGGUGUCUGACCUGAGCACUUCCCUUUACCUGCUGGCCCUGAUACCCCUCUUCCAGGAGACACCUGUGGGGCUGCCCUGAGCUGGCUGCCUGGGGAAAGGCAUGGCCUUCGGGCCUUCUCUGUCUGCUGCCUGUCCUCAGCCGACCCAACUCCAACCCCGACUUUCCAAUUUCCUGAGACAAAUCAGCCCAAGGCCUUCAGACCCAAGGGACAAGAGCCAAGUUCUGCAAAGACUCAGCCUGAUUGUCUAGGUUUGUUUUAUUUAUUUAUUUCUGAUUGUCCUUACUUUUCAAGAGCACACCUGGGGGAGCCAGGGAUUUAGCUCAGUGGUAUAAGCAUCUGCUUGGUGAGCGUGACAUCAUGAUACCAAACACACAAAAAACAAGAUUGCACCUGGGUGACUGAGACAGGAAAUGGAUGCAUCCUCCCGGAAGCCUGUGUUUCUCCUGACUCAGUUCCUAGCUCGUGAUGUUUUGCAGGACUUGUCAGGACCAUCACUCAAGUGCCCUAGCAUAUAGCCUAGUCCAUGUACCUUGUGAUGCCUGGCUUCUCUCACUUCUGUUGUGCGUGACAUCUGUCCCUGCUGUCACACUAGCAACUGCCACUUGGUGACCAGUCACGCACAUCAGUGUUCCUCUGUUGUCACCGUGACAGCAGCACUGAGAUGGAAUUCCUGGACUGACUGUCCCCACCCCAGAGUCCUGUGUAGAAAUCCUGAUCCCAGUGCGGUGGCUGUCAGAGUUGGAGUCUUGGGGAGGUCACCAGGUUAGAGUUCCCCAGAGGACAGCAAGACUUGCUCUCCACCAUGGGAGGAGACAAGGAAAGGGCAGCGGUCAGCAGGCAGGAAGUGUACCCCGCCCAGCAAGCACCCUUCCUGCACAUGCUCCUGAGAGCAGCAGCAGCAGCAGGUAGGAGAGAACAGGGCAGUGCUGUGGGCCAUGCCUCGUGGUCACCAGUGACCAGGAAAGCCCCACAUCCACAGCACAGGUGGGUGGCGAGUGGGGCAGGGGAACGGGCCUUGCAUGUGACUGCAGCAGCAGGGCGCAUGGACCACGAUUUGGUUUCCGAUCAGCUUCUGUGUACCUUGGUUGUUUCCAGUCUUCUUCGUUGCCCAGUGCUGGGGCUGGAACCGGGGUGAUGCCCCAGCCCAUUUCCACUUCUGGGCAACAAUGUAUCACACUGUGUGAACAUCUGUGUACACCUAUCUGUGUGGAUUUGCACAUGUGUCUUAGUACUUUUCAGUACACAUGCUAUAGCACCCGAGGCUGAUGCAGAAGGAUCACCUCAAAUUCAAGGUCACCCUGGGCUAAAGAGUGAGUUCAAGGUCUGCCUGAACUACAAGACCCUAUAUCGAUAAAUAAAUAAAAUGUACAAUAAAAAGAACAAGGAA